GGAGGCUACCACAGGACCUUCAUGCAAGAGAGGGUCCCCUCAGCAUGAUGUGGUGCCCUGGACGUCAGCCUGGUCACGAGCAACCAACAGCACCAGGCUGGGCUGAGCUGGGCUGGAUCAAAGCAUCACCACCUUGCACCUCCUGUUGCUUUUUGGCCCCAUUUUGUGGGGGCUAAAUGAGGUCAUUUUUGAGGGGCAGCAUGGUCACUUGGCUGAGGAGAGCAGCAGGAGCUGGCACCUCCAGGAGCCCGGUGGCAUUCCAGAGCGGCACAGACCCACGGGCUGGGGGUAGAGAAUCUUUGCUUUCAUCUCUUGAUUAAGACCAAGGCAAUUAAAGUGGCCCAGUAGGGUCCAGCCAGCAGGAGCCAGCAGCCUCCAGCAAAGUGAGACCUUGGGAGAGCCCAGAGGGACCAUGGGGCAAGCCAGGUCUUGGGCUUUCCCAGCAGCAAGACCACGCUGGAGGACUUGACCACAUCAGGGUCCCUCCUCUGGUGUCCCCCCAGCCCCUGGGGGUGCUCCUCACCAGCCCUGGGCGAAGCAUCUCCCACGCAGCUCCUUUUUAGCCACGGAGGCUUCAGCCACCCAGCUCUGCCCCUCGGUGCCACAGGCAGCCUGGCAGCCCAGGCACCCUUUCCCCCACCCCCCCACCCCCGUGAAGAUGUGGCCCCUUCUAUCUCCUCCUCCUCUUGAUGGGAGGCAGCAGCCAGCUCCAGCAGGAUGCACUCAGCUGGGAACCCACCACGGUGUCACCACCCAGCCCGGUGCUGGAGCUGCUGGGAGCCCACCCAGCCUAUCUGAAGCCCCUUCCCAUCCCCAAAACCUGAGCUUCCACUCCCAGACCUAGGAGACAUCAGGCUGUGAGAGGCGGCCGCGGGGCUUGGGGCUGCC